CCGAACUAAAAGAGCUGUUGUUCAUUUACAUCUAUCUGCCUUCAUUGAGCUGAGGAGAUAUAAAAAAAUCUAAAAAUAGCAUCAUCCAAAAUGGUACUUGCAAUUUCAGGUAUCUCAGUACUUUCACAUGACCAAAAGUGAGCUCUGGAAUGGGAGAUGUCCUGUAUUUGCUGGCAGUCUCCCCCUUCCAGCCCUCAGCCUGGACUUACCUCUCCAUGAGUCCUGGCAGCAUGAAUGGCAGGAACCUGAGGACCUGAAUGCUACCUGCUCAGGAAGGCAGGAAGAGUUAACCAUUUGUGGUGACUUCCCAUCUGUGAAGGAGUGAAGCCAGGAGAAAAAUACAGCUCUUUGGAUACUGCUGAUGUCAGAAGAGUGGUACUGAUGAAUUUGACAGAAAAACUGAUCAAUGUAAUUUGCUGCUGCUUGUCAUCAGCACACAGUCAGCCUGCCACUGUUACAGGUUUUGAUUGUUCUUUUAUCCCAACCACAGAAGAAUGUCAUAAGGAUUUCCUAAACAUAAAAGGUUUGGGAUGAAGGAAAUAUCUUUACAAACAUCUACAGUACCUCCUUACAUUCAAAUUAAAUGUUUUCAGCCAAACCCACACACUUUUACUCAAACACCUACAAACUAAUUAAAUAAAACUGCUUGU